rnacentral:rRNA from 1 species
UUUGAAAAGACUGUAUAAUAGUAAGAGUUGAAAAUAACAACUCA